UACGGUGCUGAAGCAACAAAUGCCCUGCUUCCAGGAAAAGCCUCUAAGCAUCAGGUAACAUCAAAUCGUACCCCAAACCGACACAGGUGGUCAGGUAGAGAAUACCAAGGCGCUUGAGAGAACUCGGGUGAAGGAACUAGGCAAAAUGGUGCCGUAACUUCGGGAGAAGGCACGCUGACACGUAGGUGAAGUGAUUUACUCACGGAGCUGAAGUCAGUCGAAGAUACCAGCUGGCUGCAACUGUUUAUUAAAAACACAGCACUGUGCAAACACGAAAGUGGACGUAUACGGUGUGACGCCUGCCCGGUGCCGGAAGGUUAAUUGAUGGGGUCAGCGCAAGCGAAGCUCCUGAUCGAAGCCCCGGUAAACGGCGGCCGUAACUAUAACGGUCCUAAGGUAGCGAAAUUCCUUGUCGGGUAAGUUCCGACCUGCACGAAUGGCGUAAUGAUGGCCAGGCUGUCUCCACCCGAGACUCAGUGAAAUUGAACUCGCUGUGAAGAUGCAGUGUACCCGCGGCAAGACGGAAAGACCCCGUGAACCUUUACUAUAGCUUGACACUGAACAUUGAGCCUUGAUGUGUAGGAUAGGUGGGAGGCUUUGAAGUGUGGACGCCAGUCUGCAUGGAGCCGACCUUGAAAUACCACCCUUUAAUGUUUGAUGUUCUAACGUGGACCCGUAAUCCGGGUUGCGGACAGUGUCUGGUGGGUAGUUUGACUGGGGCGGUCUCCUCCUAAAGAGUAACGGAGGAGCACGAAGGUUGGCUAAUCCUGGUCGGACAUCAGGAGGUUAGUGCAAUGGCAUAAGCCAGCUUGACUGCGAGCGUGACGGCGCGAGCAGGUGCGAAAGCAGGUCAUAGUGAUCCGGUGGUUCUGAAUGGAAGGGCCAUCGCUCAACGGAUAAAAGGUACUCCGGGGAUAACAGGCUGAUACCGCCCAAGAGUUCAUAUCGACGGCGGUGUUUGGCACCUCGAUGUCGGCUCAUCACAUCCUGGGGCUGAAGUAGGUCCCAAGGGUAUGGCUGUUCGCCAUUUAAAGUGGUACGCGAGCUGGGUUUAGAACGUCGUGAGACAGUUCGGUCCCUAUCUGCCGUGGGCGCUGGAGAACUGAGGGGGGCUGCUCCUAGUACGAGAGGACCGGAGUGGACGCAUCACUGGUGUUCGGGUUGUCAUGCCAAUGGCACUGCCCGGUAGCUAAAUGCGGAAGAGAUAAGUGCUGAAAGCAUCUAAGCACGAAACUUGCCCCGAGAUGAGUUCUCCCUGAGACUUAGAGUCUCCUGAAGGAACGUUGAAGACGACGACGUUGAUAGGCCGGGUGUGUAAGCGCAGCGAUGCGUUGAGCUAACCGGUACUAAUGAACCGUGAGGCUUAACCUU
rnacentral:rRNA from 1 species